UCAAUUGAUGUUAAACCAGAAAGCACUGAAAUGUGAACAACCUAUUGAAAAUGGUGUUACAGUUUUUACUGAUGCUUCUGGGAAAACACACAAAUAUGGCUAUGCUAAAUGGUGUGACACUUCCAAACAAUGGAAGACUGUAGUGAAAGAACUAGAAGGAGUUUCUGUUCAAUGUCUUGAACUCAAAGCAGUAACAAUGGUGUUUGAAGACUUUGUAAAUAUCCCUGUAAAUAUUAUUACUGAUUCUAUGUAUGUAGCUUCUGUUGUGAAUCGAGUAGAGGAGUCAAUUAUUGGACACAUUUCUAACAAGGUUAUUGAAGCUGUGAUUAUUCAAUUGUUGAAUUUGAUUCUAAACAGAAAAUGUUUAUAUUUUUGUACUCAUAUUCGUAGUCAUACUAACUUGCCUGGAUUCUUGUCAGAAGGAAACGCGAAAGCCGAUGAGGUGGUGAGUGCUGGAGCCCAACAAAAUGAUACUGAUGAACCUUCUGUUUCUGUCAAAUCAGCCACACAGGCAAUUAAGCAAGCACAAGUAAGUCAUGCAUUCUUUCACCAAUCUGCAAAAAGUUUGUCUAAAGAAUUCUCUAUAUCUCUGCAAACUGCUCGUGGCAUUAUUGCCUCGUGUCCUGAUUGUGCCAAGGUCUCGCCCCUACAAUCAGAAGGCACUAAUCCUAGGGGGACUGAGGCAAGAGAGUUAUUUCAAACAGACAUUACAAUUGUUCCGUCAUUUGGACGUCUAAAAUAUGUUCAUGUCACAGUAGAUACCUAUAGUUCAGCCUUGUGGGCAUCUGCCAUGACAUCAUCGGGGGCGUCAGCAACGUGUCGACACUGGAGAAUGGCAUUUGCUGUAUUAGGAAACCCCCAAACAAUUAAGACAGACAAUGGUCCAAAUUAUAAAAGCCAAAUUGUUGAAGCAUUUCUUUCAGCCUGCAAUAUCAAACAUUUAUUUGGAAUUCCUUACAAUAGUACAGGACAGGCGAUUGUUGAAAGAAAGCAUUCUGAUCUCAAACGAUAUAUUGCCAUUUUUCAAAGACAGGGGGAGUUUUCCCAUUCCCACUCCCCCCACGAUAUUCUUUCAAAGGCCAUUUAUGUUUUAAAUUGGAAACUCUGGUCACAAAAGUCGAAUCAAGAAGUUGGGUCAACCCCUAUCUUUAGACAUUUUACUCAAAACAAUCCUUUAAAAGAAACACAUGUUUCUGUGCAAGUUUGGGACCCCUCAUCAGCCACCUGGAAUGGACCAUGGAGAUUAAUAACUUGGGGUCGUGGAUAUGCUUGUGUCAUUACAGAGGACGGAGAGCGGUGGUUGCCACCCAAGUGGGUGCGACCCUGGCUACAUGCUGAAACCAAGGAAAACAAGGAGGAUGAUCAAACGGCGAUAGAAGAAAUUGCUGACUUAGAAGCUGCACACAACAUCACCAGAGACAACUGAUCUGAGACCCUGCAUCUUCCGAUGUCUAUCCUGGCAGAUGCAUCGGAUCGCUGCUACAGUGUUUGAAAAGAAAGGGGGAGAUGUGGGGAAUUUUGUAGGGGCUGUUGCUUUGCAAUCAAUAUGUAGGCGAUUGGAACACAGCGGGUAAGACACCGGUCAGCCCAAGGACACUGUGUCCGCUUCGUGCUUUCUAUGAAAAAAAGCAGGGUUGGCCUGAGGAUGUUGCGUCCUUGUGGUACAGCUGUGCAAAGUAAAACAAAGUAAUGAAUCAGUCAUGAAUAUACCUUAGAACAAAGGAUCUGCACAUCUGGAAAUGUAGGGUUUGAUAUAUGAGCACACGUACUGCUUAUAAAAAUACCUUUUUGUAUCUACUAAUGAUUAUGCUUUAAACCACAAAAAUGUAUUGCAUGGACCAAUUAGAAAUCGACAUGUAAUCCUGUAAUAGUAUAAAAAGCCUUCUGAUUUGUGUAUUAAACGUCUUACAUUUACAAUCCA